rnacentral:rRNA from 1 species
UACGGGGGGGGCGAGCGUUGUUCGGAAUUACUGGGCGUAAAGGGCGCGUAGGCGGUGCUCUAAGUCGGAUGUGAAAACUCUGGGCUCAACCCAGAGCCUGCAUCCGAAACUGGAGUGCUAGAGUUCUGGAGGGGGUAGCGGAAUUCCUGGUGUAGCGGUGAAAUGCGUAGAUAUCAGGAGGAACACCGGUGGCGAAGGCGGGUCUCUGGGCAGUAACUGACGCUGAGGAGCGAAAGCGUGGGGAGCGAACAGG